rnacentral:misc_RNA from 1 species
AUUUGUUAACAAUUAGAGGGAACUGAAAUAAGGAGAUGGCCAUGGAGUGUGGCAAAGUGAUAGGCGCCAUGAACUUUGUGAGGGACGUCCAACAUUUUGAUAUGUCGACGUUUCAUCAACUGGAGGAUGCUAGAAAUAAUCUAGAACAUGCAGCUGGAUUUCUGAGAAAACUGGAGAAGAGAUCCCCGGAGAAUACGAUAUCAACAUAUCUUAGGCCCCUAUUUCUAGAAGCUCUUGAUGGUUUGUCUGCAAUAUCUUCUCACAUGAAGGAUCAAGGCCAGAAGAGUGACAUCGUUGAAAGGAUUUCGAAGGUGCUGAAAAUAAUCAAAUUGAAGAACAUUGCUGAGCGAAUCAAAGCUUCAAAACCA